AUUGAACGCUGGCGGCAGGCCUAACACAUGCAAGUCGAACGAGUGGCGGACGGGUGUGUAAUGUCUGGGAAACUGCCUGAUGGAGGGGGAUAACUACUGGAAACGGUAGCUAAUACCGCAUACCAUCAGAUGUGCCCAGAUGGGAUUAGCUAGUAGGUGGGGUAACGGCUCACCUAGGCGACGAUCCCUAGAUGGUCUGAGCGGAUGACCAGCAACACGGGAACGAGGCCACGGUCCAGACUCCUACGGGAGGCAGCAGUGGGGAAUAUUGCACAUGGGGCGCAAGCCUGAUGCAGCCAGGCCGCGUGUAUGAAGAAGGCCUUCGGGUUGUAAAGUACGUUCAGCGGGGAGGCGUUACCCGCAGAAGAAGCACCGGCUAACUCCGUGCCAGCAGCCGCGGUAAUUC
rnacentral:rRNA from 1 species